rnacentral:rRNA from 1 species
UUGCGAAGAGGUCACACCCGUUCCCAUCCCGAACACGGAAGUUAAGCUCUUCAGCGCCGAUGGUAGUUGGGGGUUUCCCCCUGCGAGAGUAGGACGUCGCCGGGC